rfam:Bombyx mori DNA, contig: Bm_scaf49_contig26059, strain: p50T/Dazao, build 2, whole genome shotgun sequence.
UUAACUCAUAUUUGUAUGGGGUCGGAACGUUUGCCUACGUUUGCCGCUAGGGGCGCUGUUCCAACUGCAUACAAAUUUGAGUUA